rnacentral:tRNA from 1 species
ACAGUGGUUCAGUAGUAGAAUUCUUGUCUUCCACGUAGGAGGCCCGGGUUUGACUCCCGGCCAAUGUA